rnacentral:rRNA from 1 species
CCUACGGGUGGCAGCAGUGGGGAAUAUUGCACAAUGGGGGAAACCCUGAUGCAGCGACGCCGCGUGAGUGAAGAAGUAUUUCGGUAUGUAAAGCUCUAUCAGCAGGGACGAAGAUGACGGUACUUGAUUAAGAAGCCCCGGCUAACUACGUGCCAGCAGCCGCGGUAAUACGUAGGGGGCAAGCGUUAUCCGGCUUUACUGGGUGUAAAGGGCGCGUAGACGGCAGCACAGGUCUGGAGUGAAAAGCAGGGGCUUAACCCCGGAACUGCUUUGGAAACUGUGCAGCUAGAGUGCAGGAGAGGUAAGUGGAAUUCCUGGUGUAGCGGUGAAAUGCGUAGAUAUAAGGAGGAACACCAGUGGCGAAGGCGGAUUACUGGACUGUAACUGACGUUGAGGCUCGAAAGCGUGGGGAGCAAACAGGAUUAGAUACCCUUGUAGUC